rnacentral:rRNA from 1 species
GGGGGAGUAACUAGUCGAAAGAUUAGCUAAUACCGCAUACGAUCUAAGGAUGAAAGUGGGGGAUCGCAAGACCUCAUGCUCGUGGAGCGGCCGAUAUCUGAUUAGCUAGUUGGUGGGGUAAAAGCCUACCAAGGCGUCGAUCAGUAGCUGGUCUGAGAGGACGACCAGCCACACUGGGACUGAGACACGGCCCAG